CGCUGCGAGCCCGCGCGACUGGCACGGAGCAGGUCCACCCGCAGCGAGGGGCCGCUCACUGCCGCGGAGCCCGCCAGAGGGCAAAGCCCCAGACAGACAGCAAAUAGGGAGGCGGCUGGCACCUGGGGAGGCCGAGGCGGGAGGAUCGCUGGAGCCCAGGAGUUCGAGACCCGCCUUGGCAACAUACUCCCUCCAGCGUGCGAAAUGCGGCUAAUGGACAGCUGCUCCAGCGGCUCUGAUGUUGCUAGACCUCCUCAGCACUCAGCCCAGGGCAGCCAGGAAGAAUGAAUAGUGAUUCAGAGGGAUAGGAGGAAGCUGUGUGGCAUUUCACAGAUACUUAUUGUAAAACUGCUGGUGGCCAUGUCUUCUUUUCCUAUCAGAGCUAAUGAGUUUUGAUAUGUGAACAUUUCUUCUCCUUCAUAGGUAAUGUGUUGAUUUGGCACUUUAAUCUUAGAAUAAUCAUUUCUAAAACCAA